CUUUAUCAGAACAAAGUUUUCUAAUUUCACUCGAAAAACAAAUUUCACUUGAAUGAAAUUAGAGGUUCUACUGCAAAAAUCCAGGCUGAUCACCAGCUAGGACAUCUGCAUGGCUACUUACUCUCAAAGGCUUAGGGGAAAUAUUACUUCAACUGGGAGGUGUGCACUUUUCCCUAAACAAAAAUAAGGCCUCUUCUCUCUGCACUGGAUAUUUCUAAUGACUCCACAUUUUCCUUAUCACAGAACACAGCACACAAGAAAAGGUGUCUGUCUUUCCUGUGUAAUGGACAGGUUUUGAAUCGUGGGCCCAGAAGGAUUGUCUGAAUUAUAAGGAAUGUCCAUUUGUGCUUUAGCAACUUGAAGCUUCAGUGAAAAGAAUCAGAACACAGAGAAAACUUGCUGCUAGGACAAAAAUGAAGGAAAGAAUCAUCCCAGGAUGGUGAUACUCGGGUUACAGGCUCACAGGCAGAAGGGACUUGGCCUUUCUCAGAUGAGACUUUGGACUGUGGACUUCAGAGGUAAUGCUGAAAUGAGUUGACUUUGGGGGGACUGUUGGGAUGGCAUGAUUGGUUAUGAAAUGUGAUGACAUGAGAUUUUGGGAGGAGCCAGCUACCGCUCAUAAGGUUUCACUCUCUGUCCCCACUCAAAUCUCAUCUUGAAUUGUACUCCCAUAAUUCCCAUGUGCUAUGUGAGGGACGCAGUGAGAGAUAAUUGAAUCAUGGGGGCAGUUUCCCUCAUACUGUUCUUGUGGUAGUGAAUAAGUUUCAUGAGAUCUGAUGGUUUUAUCAGGGGAAACCCCUUUCAUUGGCUCUCAUUCUUUUUGUUACCACCACCAUGUAAGAAGUGCCUUUCACCUUCCACCUUGAUUGUGAGGUCUCCC
rnacentral:lncRNA from 1 species